ensembl:lncRNA
GGGGGGUGGAGGGAUGGAGUGCGCAGCAGGAGGAGGAGGUGGUGAAUGUGCAGAGCUACGCCCCUAGCGGUAGGAGGCGGGAGUGGUGGAAGUGCCGUCGCCUGCAGGCUUUGCAGAAUGCCUUAUUCAGAACAACCAAAUACAGAGAAUCACACAUCCAAGUUCAGUUCACACUAAGUUUAAGAUUUCAAAGUUCAGCUUCUUUUUUCAUAUGAUUACAAGGAUGUGAGAAACAAAGAGCUUGGCUUGAGGUCUACCUCCAACUGAAAGUCUAUUUUGACAUCCGUCUCCCCCUCCCAUUAUGAGUAUCCUUUGCCUGGAAAUUACUUUGUA